UUCUCAGCCUAACAGGAAGCCCUUGGACUGCAAACUUUGUUUGACCAGGGCCAUUAUUUGCAUGUUGUGCUUUUGUAGGUAUUAUGUUUCAUUAUGCUUUAUGUUUUUAAUUACAUCUCAGAGCAUCUGAAUUGUUCUGCUAUUCCAACAAGUUUCCUUGAGUCCUAAUUAGAUUAAAACCUUCGGUGCAAUCAAUAGAUUCUCAUCUCAGUACUGACCAAGCCAGUCCCAAACAGUAAUUUACAGCCUUGGUUGUUAUGGAAUCAAUACAGAUUUGCUUUUCAUUGAGACAACUGUAAAGCAUAGGUGACAGCCAGCUCAGUAAGCAGCUGGUGUGGAAGUGGAUCUCUUGCUGGUGUUGGAGAAUGGCCAGGGAGCUUCAGAGAGGAGGAGAAAGUCUGGGAGCAGAGCACACCUCUUCCACCCGCUGGGCUGAGGAUGAUGACCAAGCGCUGGGCUCCUGUGCUGCUUCUGAGCAGGAGGUUCUCUCCUUUCUGGCUCCCGUCGCUCUGGUUGGUCAAAGUGGAGACAAGCAUUGAGAACAUGGGAUCUGCUGGGCGUUGAUUUUCAUCAGCUGCUCCCUGAUAAUGCAGCUCUGCUGCCCCUGGAAUUUUGGCAUAGACAUCACAAUGAUGAUUUACCACCCCCCUGGCAAGGAUAUAAGCAAUGAAUGACCCAAAGGCAUCUCCUCAUCCCAUUGGUUUCCACUUAGCGCAGUGUCUGUGAGCUCUGGACUCAUCCUCUAAUCGCAGAGUCAUUAAGGUUGGAAAAGAUCAUCGAGCUCACCAAGUCCAACCCCAACCCAUCCCCUCCGCUAAACCACAUCCCUCAGUGCCACAUCUCCACACUCCCUGAACACCUCUUGGGAUGGUGACCCCAUUACCUCCUUGGGAAGGCAGGAGGGCAGCUCCAGCUCCACCACCACCCAUUUGCAGCAUCCCAACCCCACUGCCUCCAGCACCCCAGGCAGCAUGUGCUGCUCAAAAAGCUGACAUUUCUGAUCACAAAAGGACUCAGAGCGGUGGCUUCGAGAACAAACUUGGUUUUUUGCAUCACGGCUCAUUAGUGGCACUGAGCAAGAAAGCAGUAGCGAGCCAUUUAAAUUGUAGAUUCUGACCUUUAUGCUUAAGAUCUUUUCAGACAUCCUGUUUACAGCUUGUUUUGUUUUGUUUUUUUUUGGUGUGUGCGUGUUCUGGCACUUCAUAAUCCUCAAAAUGAGAUUUUAUGCUGUCUUCUUUUUUUUUUACUAUUAUAAUGCACCACGUCCUGCUACUUUUCCCCAUUGAGGAGACAUCCAGAGACAGCCCCAGAGAAUUAGAAAUAUCUGAGAGCCCAUAGAUCAGCACUGCCACCUCCCUUCAGCGGUGGCCCUCUGGACACAAUCCCAUGUACAUGCAUGUACUCAACAAACAUUACCUCAGUGCUGCUUCCCCUGAUAAGGAU